rnacentral:tRNA from 1 species
AAGCCCUGGCAGAAGUCAUUCUGCUCUUUAAAAUUUGCAAUUUUAUAUGCUUAACAUCCCAAGACU